UCCUAGGAGUUGACCAGUAGUGUGCAGCUGCAGAUGUUUCCACGUAGAGCAGACACAUCAAAUAAUUCCCUGUCUGGAGCGCUUUCUCUAGUGAAGAAGCAUUCAGUUCAAGGCUCAGAGGGAGGAAACAAAGAAACAGAAGACAAGAAAGUAAAUAAAAGCAAAGAUGAGGACUUUUGCUGGCCCCUGUGGGUUCACAGUCCUGUGGGUACACAAGCAGAGGGUAUGAAGAAAAAGGCACUGCUUCCUGAUGACAGCAACCCUAUUCCAAGUUGCGUGACUUGGCAUCAGAGGGUGGGCUACUACCAUUCUUCCCUCAGCGCAAGGCUUUUGCAC
ensembl:lncRNA